rnacentral:lncRNA from 1 species
AGUUUAGAUUAAUACUUUUGGAGAAGAACUGAAUUUUUCCAUGGGAAGCCAGCAUGACAUGUUGAGAGAGACAUGUCCUCACCUUUGAAAGUUAGGGAUAGCUAAGGUGGUAGUCUUGCUUCUGCUCUUUGCAUCAAGAAAGCAUUACCCCGCCUGGAAGAAUGACAUUAUUUGGUUUUCUGUGUGUUUUCAAGCCCAGAAACUGAGUGCUGGACUCUAAAAAUUCCAGGCUUCUUGCUUCGUACAGACUCAGCGCAGCGGGACUGUUCUUAGCACAGUGGGACUUCUAGGCCCUGGUUUCCGUCCUGAAUGACGUGAAGAGAUUAGAGCUUUGUAGGCUGGCUUUCCAACCCUGCAGGAACCAGAGCCAGGAAGAACAGCCAAACUCUGAAACUCUGUGCCCAGAGAAGAGCUCUACGUACAUGUUGGGA